CAGGGAAGUGUGAAAUAAAAUUCCAGACUAGAAGGCGAGAGAGAGGCUUAGAUGCCAUGUCACUGUUCAUUUGGCCUGGCCUGGGACAAAGCUGGUGAAGGAAAGAAGUGAGGAGAGCAAGCAAAGGAACCACAGCACGCCUUGAAGAGUCAAGGACAGAGCAGCUGACUGUCCCAAGCAAGAAACUGAAACUCCGGCCUUCAGGAAAAGAAAAAGGGACUGUCAGACUCUGGAAGAGGCUAAAAUUGCAGCUCAAAGAUGCUCAGGAGAAUUGCAUGAACAAGACUGCAG
rnacentral:lncRNA from 13 species